rnacentral:rRNA from 1 species
UACAGAGGUCUCAAGCGUUGUUCGGAUUCAUUGGGCGUAAAGGGUGUGUAGGUGGCGCGCUAAGUCGGGUGUGAAAUUUCGGAGCUUAACUCCGAAACUGCAUUCGAUACUGGCGUGCUUGAGGACUGGAGAGGAGACGUGGAAUUCGAUGGUGUAGCAGUGAAAUGCGUAGAGAUCAUGAGGAAGACCAGUGGCGAAGGCGGGUC